AUAAUCCAGCUUAUCAUUUAUUUUUCCCUUCAAUAAAGCAACAGCAUGUUUUUAGGAUAAACUCUCCUUUGGGUAUCUUUGGUCGAUAACAAUUUCACGUGGAGAUUAAAAAGAACGAUGGACAUGUGACACCUAAGAACAUGGAAGCUACACUAAUUACAACACCUUGGUAAGUCUUGGUGAGGGAAUGAUUACGAAAGGAAGCUUGAACUCCACACACUUGAGUUGCAUUGCCUAGCAAGGCAAACUCUAAGUGUGGGGGAGGUAUUUGAGUAUCUCAAGUAAGUUCCUUUUAUGCCAAAUCUUAUCUUGGUUUGGAGAUGGUGUUGGUUCUUGCAUCUUGCCCCACUAAAAAAACAAUAAAAAAAGAGGAGUUACCACGACGGCAAUUCCGAGUUCUUCAUCACCCAAACGCCAUGGUAAGUACCUACAGGUAUGUCCUGCGUUUGACUUUAAACAAAGCCCUUCCGGGAGGCAGCCCGAAGUUCGCCAAUCUUAUACUCAUGUUGAUCCCUCUUUG
rnacentral:lncRNA from 1 species